GUGUGACACUGUGCAAGCCGUUUAAACUCUCUGGAUAUCUUUUCGCUAGAAAAUAAAAAUGUUGAUCUCUAAUGUCAUUUUCAAUAUUAAUAUUCUAUGAUUCCACUAAACCAGAGUCAACCUAAUAAAAACUAAAUUGUAUUACAAGAUGGAGUUAGGAAAACACUGGAAAUAUAUAAUAAAUUUUCAGUAGGCUUACAUUUAAUAAAGGGCCUUUUUUACUUUAUUUUGAAAAUAGCGAGCUAAGAAGUGAAGAAAUAAGUAAACGUUUUAAAGAUUAGCAGAAUAUGACUGUCAGAAUUCUGUUUAAUUACAUAGUUAGAUUUCAUCACAUGAUAACAAAAAUGUAAGAAAAUCAUAUAAUUCUACAGUGCUAGCAAUAGCAAAUUACUUGUGGGAAAAUCAUCAAUUAAGUUGUUCAAAAAUCUCAAUCUCGCAAAGUCGUGGUGUAAAGUAGUAUUUUUAAACUGCUUUACAUUUUUUUAAGUGAUGAAGCAAACUUUAAUUUAGCACAAGUAUAAAUUAUCCUCCUUGUAGCAAUACUAUUUGUGCAUUUCUUAGAAUUAUGAAUAAGACAUUGAUGAUAAUAGAUUAGGUUUAUCUAUUAAGAAAUGAGAUAUAAAAAUUAUGAAUUCAGAAGAAGGUAAUUCUUCAACUAUGUAUUUCACAUAUUUUUACUCAGGGGAAAAAUCACACAGACAGAUUUAAAAAUAAUUUAAUUUUCUAAUUUUAUUAUUGCCUCAUUAUUAUAAUAUUUUCUGUUCUAGCAGAAACUCACAUUUAUGUUCCAGGAACAGCUAUUCCUUUACAUUUUAUUCCAAAAAGUGAUUCAACUAGUAUUUAAGUACAGAUGUCCCCAAACUAUUAUUUAUCUGGAAUAAAUUGUAACUAAAAAUAAAGUAUGCCAGAUCGUAUAUUUUCCCACAGAAGCAAAUUUAUGAAGGGUGUUUUAACAACCCUUAACAAGGGGCCAAAGUUAUUUUUAUCAAAAUGAUCAUAAAAAUUAUGUUUAAUCAACUACAAAUGACAUCCCUUGAUAAUGCACAGUAUGAAUUCACAAAGUAUAUACAAAUUAAUUAAAUAAAGAUUUACAGAAAGCAAACACAUAACACAAUUUCAUAUAUUUUAGAGAUUAAUAUGGAUAAGGAUUUUGCGAGAAGGGAUAAUUCUGUGCAGAUCUACCAGAAAAAAAAAAAAAGGUAAAUUUAGUGGAACAAAUAGAGUGGGUCAAAAGGCAGAAAUGUGUGUAUAUGUUUGUGUUUGUGUGUGUGUAUGUUAAGGUUGGGGUGGAGGGGGCCUCUGCAGGUCCUGGGAGCUCUCCUGUCAUCUGCAGCAAAGAUGACCCUAGCUUUCCGACUGUCAGGGAGCAGCUGAUUUGUUGAUGUCAUUUAUGCAAUCCCUGCAUAACUAAAAUAAUGAUAGAGUGUCUUAUAACUGGGAAGAAUCAUAUUCUACUCUAGUUCUUCACCAAAAUGUGGAGGUCCAUUCCCCCCACUCCACCCAUUGAUAUGCAUAUUUUUGACAAGAGUAAAGAAUUGUUUUUUGAACUAUACAAUAGAUGUGUAAAUCUGAAUUUGAUUAAUCGAAUUAUGAUUUCAUAUUGACCCAUAUUAUGUUAAUAUCCAAUUGAUAUUUAAUAUUAAGACACUACUAUCAGUUUGUUUCAUAUUUUUCUUGUCUUUUAGUUCUUCUGUCAAGUAGCUCAUGAUCUGGAACCACCAUAAAAACUUUCUGAAGAUGUUUUGAGAGAAAUUCUUCCAUGACUUUAAAAAAAAAAUUAAAACAUUAUCUCAGUCUUUUUUUUUUUGCCUGAAUUUGAGUUUUUAAAUUUCAACAUUAGCACAACUACAGGGUUAUACACUUUGCUCCAUUCAAUGCACAAUUCUGUGUCAACAGAAAGGGUCGAUUUUAUGCUCCAAAUCUAAAAUCAUCAUACAAGCAGAAAACAGAUUGAGAAAGUUCAUUGUAUCAACACUAAAAUUGGCCAAAAAUAAUGAUUAGAAAAUUUAAGUCCAUUCAUUCUUCUGACAACCGGGAUGUAGAAUAUGAACUAGGGAAGCAGGCAUAGAAGAUAAAUUAAAAUAAAAACAUUAUUUAAACAAUUAUUAGAAGGAACAUUACUAUUACAAAUGUAUUCUUCCUCUCCUUCAACUAUUUACAUGAAGUUAAAAUCUUAAAAUUGGGGAAAAGUGCUUGGACAUUACAAGUAAAAUGUGGUUUUUAUAUUAUUUAGCAAUUUUAACUUAUUUCUUAUUUAUCUGAACUUCAGUUAAUUUAAAUACUUACAUACUGAAGUUUAUAAGGAAAAACUUGAUGUGUAAGGUAUUUUAAUGUAAAAAAGGUCAUUAUCCAAAUUUCUGUUGACGAUGGAGGCUUUUCAACGUUCACAUGAAAAAAUAUGGCCCUGAUGUUAUCAAUUAUCUAACAUAGUUGUGACAAAUAUCGUAAAUAAUGACAUCAUAAAGUGUUGUGAAGUGGCAAAGAUCCCCAAAAUAACCACCACGAUUACAGUAUGAUGAAUUAAUAGGACUACAAAACACACGUGCCUACUUAAUUUUUUUUACUUUGACUAUCACUUUAGAAUAAAUAAGUUUGAAUUUCAAAGACCUUCUGACGAUGUAAGAGUAAAAAAGCUUGUACCAAUCGUUCAUGACCUGCAAGUUUAGUGAAUUGCCCCAGAAAGCUUCUCUAUUGAUAUUAUUGGUGUUCAGUCCAGGAAGAAUAGGAGCAUUCGAAAAAUAUGGGAAAACAGUUAAAUGUACAGGGCUUAUUUAUUUUGAGGAUAUGUGGUGUUUCUCAACUCCCAUGAUGUGUAACAGGGAGACUAGAUGGAGCCAAGAAGGCAUUCCUGGGCCAGGGGCCUUGUACUAGGAAAUACUAUUCCUGGACGUUUCAUCACCUUCAAAAAAGUUAAAAUAUCCAUGAUUUUCAGUUUUCU